UUGAGCAUGCUUUGGUGGCACAGUCGAUGACGCGCUGGACAAGGCCCGCACGCGGGUGGCAGCACCGCAUGGCCCUAAACAGUUUCUCAUGCAUUGUCAACCAACCCGGAUGUGAUAUAAUUCAGGCCACAUGUUGAUUCAGUGCAGCUUCUCCGUGCAGGACGUGGGAAGGGACGCACACACUGUAAACAGGAAUAGGUGCAUCACCGGUCACUGAGUUAGCAAGCUAAAGUUAGCUAGUUAGUCACAUAAAUGUACGUUCAGCCUGUUAAUUAUUUCAGUUUGAUUUGACUUAUCUUACGAAGGCAGCAUGGCUUAACAUAGUUUCUUUCGUUUUUGACCUCGACAUUGUUGCUCGACAGGUAUUUUCAUAGCUACCAUGCUGUCGCUGUUAGCUAGUAAAUGCUAGCAUCGCAGGCUAACCUCAUAUCUCGAUGCCUGGAAGGUUCCCGAAAGUAGCAGCAUACUGGCCCUCCAUUCCCAAACCUGAAGCCAACUGUUCCCAACAGGAAAGACCAGGAAAAGGUGUUGGCUUAAGGUACAACUUCCUAUUGAAGAAAUUCUGUUCUGUUUAGGUUAGUGUGUAGUCAAGGCUUUGCCAACCUGCACGGUGGGUGACUGGUAACCGUCUUUCCACCAAGCUGUUCCAGGCCUGGAGUGGCACGCUGGAACUUCCAGAGGUUUGUAGACCUGAAGCAGUGUGAUGUGGUCCAGGUACUUAUCAAACAUACACACUCACUCUGUUUUGUUGUAUAAUUUUUUUAACUUAAGAAAAUUGUUCCUCUGUCAUCUGCUCCUGCAUCUGCUACACUGGCCACAACAGGUGAUACAGAUCUGCCAUGCCCAGCAGUUCAGCUGCAGUCACAGCAGUCUUCUGCUGUGGUAGUUAAUUUACCAGCUGCAUCAAUGCCUUCUACACUGCCCGUGAAAGGAGAAACUUUUGGGUAUUCCCAGAUGGAUACAAGAUCUGCCAUGCCCUCCACCACUGCCUGUCAGCCUCACCCAGAAGUGCAUACACUGGGCCUAUCAGAGAUGGCUGUCUGACAAGGAAAAAUAAAACACACACACACAUUAUCCACAAUGUAAAUAAGUUGUAAUUACUUGUUUAAUGUUUGCUCCAUUUUAUUGUAGGAUUGGAGAUAUCUACUCUUUCAUAGCCAUUCUCAAUAUCUACAUAAUUACUCUAUCUAUAACUAUCUAUCAAAUCAAAGUGUGAUUGAUAAUAUUGUAAAAUACUUGCUUAAUGUGUAGUUUUAGGACAUUUUGUAUGCUUGAAAAACAUGCCUCAUACACACAUUAGACCCAAUGUAAAUCAGUUGUAAUAACUUGUUUAUUUUAUGUAUGGUGAAUUUUAUUUGAGGAAAAUAUCUGCAAUAAAGUACAUUCACAGUUAAA